rnacentral:lncRNA from 1 species
AUUUUAAAUAGUCCAUUGCUUUUUUUAGCAGAGGAAGGGUACUGGGGAUUGAACUGGGUUUACUCAAUCACUGAGCCACAUCUUCAGCCCUAAUUUGUGUUUUAUUUAGAAAUAGGGUCUCACUGAGUUGCUUAGUGCCUUGUUUUUUUUUGCUGAGGCUGGCUUUGAACUUGCAAUCCUCCUGUCUCAGCCUCCAGAGCUGCUGGGAUUACAGGCGUGUGCCACUGCAUUGAGCUAGUCCAUUGCUUUUAAUUCGACAAAAUCUUAUCAAUAACUUCAGUAUUAUUAUUAUCACUUUAUAGCUGAAGCUGUUUUCACAGGUCCCCUGAAAAGUUAUGAAGCUUAUCUUCAUCUCCAGGUCUAUGUGAUGGUGGCUAAGCAUCCCAGCUUUCACUACCUCCGCAACCUGCCCUAAAAGCCAUUAUACUUCUCUUGAGUGAGGUGUCCAAAGUGAAGAGGAAAAGACCUGAGGAUUCCCUUGCCUCCAUCACAGUUUUGCCUAGGGCUUGAUCUACAGUUGUAGCUGCUUCUGGAUUUUCUGAUUUACCAAAUAUUGAAAGGUAAGGUUAAAGAUCAAUUAAUCUUUAAUCUAGCUGGGAAUGAGCAAAUUCAUAAACUUAGUGUUUCACAGCUCUUGGAAGCAGAGUCAUCUUCACCCUGAAGUUCUACUGGGUCUGGGUGAUAGGGGUAUUUGUGAUGAGAUCUGUACUAAUGCAAUAAGGAUUUUAAAAGUCCUGAGGGACACAUCCAGAUUGCUAUUGCUCCAUGAAAGUCUAAACUCUUGGCCUCAUUUCCUGGAGAUGUGUUACCUGCCCUUUCCUGAGAGGUGUUUUUUAAUCCUUGUCUCUCUUAUUUGUCUUAUUUUCUUCCCUGCUAUGUUUUUCUGCUAUAACUCAUCUUAAUGUAAACUAAAAUCUAUUUUAAUUUACAUAAUGAGUUAAGCUGUAUAUUUAUUGUCAUCAAUAUAAAAACAGGUAAGUAGGAAAUUUUAUAUCUUUCUUGUAAACAUAAGAUUUCUUAAAGAAACCAGGUAGCAAGUAACUGAUUUUUAUUUUUCUUCCUGUGUUUUAAUAACUCUUGAUUUUAAAAAAUGAAAGUUCUUUAGUCCUCUUUUAAGAUGUAAUUAGUCCUGAGUUGUUUUCUUCCUUUACUUCAUACCUGAGAAAAUUCAGAAGACCUAGGCAGAGACUAUUAGAAUCAGCUAAUUAAUCAUGAUAUUUGGAAUAAUUCUUAAAUAGAAUAUCUGAAAACAAAACUUCUAGAUGGCAGGAAAAUAUUAAAUAUUCAAACUUGAGGAGUCUAAAACUCCACUUGAUAGUUAAGACAAAAAAAUAGCCAUUAGACAAAUAUUUAGGAACAUGCCCUAUCCAAUUUUAUUACUAUCACUAAUAGUUCUCCUAUGAUUUAGCUUCUGAAUAGAAUUAGCUAAUAUGAGUUUUUCCCCAUUCAGAAUUCAGUACUGAGUUCUUUUAUUUUUGGAAUAAAAAGCCAAGAACAUUCAGACAUAUGUAAAUUUUACAUCUGAAUAUUUUGAAGUGUAUCCUGUUUAAAUUUUUAUUUAUUUUUAUUAUCUUGUUUUGCAAUGUUGGGGAUUGAAACAGUCCUCAUGCAUUGUAUCAUUUAAAAAUUUUUCAUUUUCAUUUAAAAUUUUAUUGUGUUAAAAACACCUAACAUGAGAUCUACUCCUUAACAGAUUUUUGAGUGUACAACUAUAGACAUAACACUGUAGAGCAGAUUUCUGAACUUAUUCAUCUUGCAUACAUUUUAAAUUUUAUAUCUGUUAAUUAACAACUUCCCAUUUCCUCUCCCUGUAAGCCCUGGCACCCGCUAUUCUAUUCUUUGCUUCUAGGAGUUUGACUAUUUUAGAUACCUCAUGUAAUUGAAAUCAUGCAGUUUGACUUUCUGUGGUGGGCUUAUUACAUUUAGCAUAAUGUUCUUGAAGUUCAUCUAUAUUGUCACAUAUGGCAGGAUUUCCUUCCUUUUAAGACUGAGUGAUAUGCCAUUGUAUGUAUACACCAUAUUUUAAAAAUCCAUUCAGUCACCAAUGGACAUUUAGUUUGUUUCUACAUCUUGGUUAUCAUGAACAGAGGCUGUAGUGAACAUGGGAAUGCUAAUAAGUCUUUGAGAUUCUGAUUUCAAUUCUUUUGGAUAAACACCCAGAAGUCAGAUUGUUGGAUCAUAUGGUAGUUCUACUUUUAAUUUUUUGAGGAACCUCCAUUCUAUUUUGUAUAGCAGCUGUACCAUAUUUCAGUCCCAUCGACAGUGUGCAAGGAUUCCAGUUUAUCCACAUUCUUGCAAAGACUUGUCUUUUUAAAAAACUAUACUAGUUAUCUUAACUGGUAUUCACCCAUUUGUUAAUUGAGUUAUUUAAUUGGGUUACUCAAUAACUCCAUUAAUAAAUAGAAACAAUAAAUGGGGCUGGGGUUGUGGCUCAGCAUAGAGCACUUGCCUGGUACGUGUGAGGCACUAGGUUCAUCCUCAGCACCACAUAAAAAUAAAUAAAUAAAAUAAAUAUUCAAACUUGAGGUCCAUCCACAACUAAAAAAUAUUAUUAAAAAGCAAUGAAUGGGUUCUUAGCUCAUCUAUUGAUUGGGUUGUGGUUUUAAUAUUGAAUUUCAGGAGUUCUAUUUUGAAAAUUGACUCCUUAUCAGAUCUAUGAAAAUAUUUUUUCUCAUUCUGUGGGUUGGCUUUUCACUGUAUUGUCUAUUUCUCUCUGCUUUUUAAUUUGAUGUAGUCCCACUUGUCUAGUUACACAUUUUCCCCCUGUGUUUUGGGUAUUAUAUACAAGAUUAUUGACAUCAUUGCCAAUAUCAAUAUCAGGAAGGUUUCCCCUAUGUUUUCUUCUAGGAGUUUUAAAAUGAAGCAUGUAAUCCAUUUUGAGAUGACUAAUGUUUAUGGUGUAAGAUAAGAGUCUAAUUUCACCAUUUUGUAUUGUUGUUUAUUCAGUUUUCUUAACACCAUUUGAUGAAAAGAUUAUCCUUUUCCCAUUAUGUAUUUAUGUAUUCCUGGCACCUUAGUUGAAGAUCAGUUGACCAUAUACAUAUGAAUUUAUUUCUGGGUUCUUUGUUCUGUUCUGUUGGUCUCUUUUUAUGGCAAUAUUUAAUUACUGUAUCCUUGUAACAUAUUUUGAUACUAGGAAUUGUGAUAGCUCUAGUUUAUUUUUCUCCAAGAUUAUCUUGGAUAUUUGAGGUCUUUUGUGUGUGAAUUUUAGAAUUUUUCUUUCUAUUUCUGUAAAAAAUGUCUUUGGAGGAGAAGAUCCAAGAUGGCUAUCUAGAGGGAAGAUGCAUUCCUUGUCGCUCUGUGACUCGGUGUCCAAACAGAAGAAAUACUGUUUCUCUGCAAGGCAGUGUUGCUGUCCAUUGAUCUCUUGCUGUUUACCCACCAUUUGUCUGCUGUGAUCACCCAUUGUGUACCAGUAUAUAGCCUGCCUUUUGAACACAGAUCCCUUGCUGACUGCUGCCUGUCAUCUGCCAUUUGCCUGCCUCUUGCCUGUCCAUCGCCUGCCACCUGAUGUCCACCGGUGGAUCACCUGAUGUUAGUCUGCAGACCACCCACAGACUGCCAGCAGAUUGCCCCCUGCCUACUGUCCCCUACUUUCUGGAAGACCAUUGUCACAGUACCCACAGGUUUGGUUACAAGCAGUCACCACCAUCUUGGAACAUCCACCAAGACCUGUUGGUUUGUUGCUGCACCGCCGCCAUCUUGGGGCACAGCCACCUCAGUCUGGGAACACCAGCCAGAGCUUAGAAAUAUAUUUUUGGGGUACCUGCAGCUCUGAUUGCACCUGAGGUCUUUCUUCUAGGUGUGCUAGUGGCUACUAUCUGGAUGUCUCUUUGCAGGGUCGCUCCUUUGUGUAAGUGCAUCCCUGGUGAUCUCUCUGUAAGCUGAAACAGCAUUGAGAUCUUGGGACUGCAGUAAGGCAGAGCAUGGAGAAUCUGAAGCCCAGGUCUAUCAGAUUGAAGCUGGGCUUGUGUGGGCAAGUCUGGGUCUAGCAAGCCCAUGGAACACCAGAGAUUAGAGGCAAUUCCCCAAAGGGAGCACAGGUUGGAGAAACUGGAAAAAACUGGGCUCUCUCCAGCUCAGUGAGUCCUAAAGUACAUGAGGAUGAAAGGGGUUGGCUACAAGUGGGAAGCCUGGAAAAGGGUAUGAAAACAUCUUGUUAUUGGCUCACCCACCCAACCAGUACAGCACCAACCAGACUGGAGCUUCCGUCAAACUUUAGACAACCCCACCUAUCAGCAGAGAAGAGCAGCUGAGAACAUUUUUUAAAGCCAAUGGAAGUUAUUGUUCAAUUUUCCAUUGAAGUAUUCCUUUUUUUUUUCUCUUUUUCCCUCUCUCUCUACCAUCUUUGAAUCCAAAUAUUUUUCUUGCUUCAAUUAUUGAGAAAAUGGUACAUCUGAAUAGUAUAUUACAGUUUUGUUGUAUAUCCUUAUAUUUUUACUUUUUUUCUUUUUUAAAUCUGUAUAUAUUUUUUCUGUCGCCUAUCUCUCUCAUUGGAUUCUCUUUCUCAAUUAUCUCAUACUAACAGCCAACCUCUAUUAAUUACUCCCUCGGUAUUACUAAACAUUUUUACUUCUAUCUUCUCUCCUCCCUCAUAAACACCACAUCUUACACUACUUCUGUUCCCUCAUUGUCCAUCAUGAGAAAUGGUAGAACCUUUUAGCAUACUUACUAUAUUAUUGUAGACAAUAACUGAAUACAUCAUUUCUGGUUAUUGUAACAAAGCUGUAGAUGCCUUAAUGGGAUCUAUUUGGUUUAAAGGUAUAUAUUGUUUGCAUUUGGUGCUGUUAAUAUGGGUCUCUCCAUUAAAGAUAAGGUACUGGAAGCCUUCAGGGACACUAUAAGACUAUAGGGCAGAAACUGUAUUUCCUCAGAUCCAUACUGCUAGAUGGGAAGACACACAAACAACAC